UACGUAGGGGGCUAGCGUUGUCCGGAAUCAUUGGGCGUAAAGAGCUCGUAGGUGGUUUGUCGCGUUGUUCGUGAAAACUCACAGCUUAACUGUGGGCGUGCGGGCGAUACGGGCAGACUGGAGUACUGCAGGGGAGACUGGAAUUCCUGGUGUAGCGGUGGAAUGCGCAGAUAUCAGGAGGAACACCGGUGGCGAAGGCGGGUCUCUGGGCAGUAACUGACGCUGAGGAGCGAAAGCGUGGGGAGCGAACAGG
rnacentral:rRNA from 1 species